GCUGGCCAUGAUGGCACAUGUCUGUAGUCCCAGCUACUCCAGAGGUUGAGGUGGGAGUAUCGCUUGAGACCAAGAGUUCUGGGCUGUCAUGCGCUAGGCUCAUAGGGUGUCUACCCUAAGUUUGGCAUCACCAUGUUGAUCUCCUGAGAGUGAUGGACCACCAGUUUGCUGAAGAAGAGCUGAACCAACCUAGGUUGGGACUAGAGCACAUCAAAACUCUUGUGCUGAUCAGUAGUGGAAUUGAGCUUGUGAAUAGCCGCUGUACUCAAGCCAGAGCAAUACAGUGAGACUUGGUCUCUA
ensembl:misc_RNA Metazoa_SRP Metazoan signal recognition particle RNA